rnacentral:rRNA from 1 species
GGGGACAACAUUUGGAAACGAAUGCUAAUACCGCAUAAAAACUUUAAACACAAGUUCUAAGUUUGAAAGAUGCAAUUGCAUCACUCAAAGAUGAUCCCGCGUUGUAUUAGCUAGUUGGUGAGGUAAAGGCUCACCAAGGCGAUGAUACAUAGCCGACCUGAGAGGGUGAUCGGCCACAUUGGGACUGAGACACGGCCCAAACUCCUACGGGAGGCAGCAGUAGGGAAUCUUCGGCAAUGGACGAAAGUCUGACCGAGCAACGCCGCGUGAGUGAAGAAGGUUUUCGGAUCGUAAAACUCUGUUGGUAGAGAAGAACGUUGGUGAGAGUGGAAAGCUCAUCAAGUGACGGUAACUACCCAGAAAGGGACGGCUAACUACGUGCCAGCAGCCGCGGUAAUACGUAGGUCCCGAGCGUUGUCCGGAUUUAUUGGGCGUAAAGCGAGCGCAGGUGGUUUAUUAAGUCUGGUGUAAAAGGCAGUGGCUCAACCAUUGUAUGCAUUGGAAACUGGUAGACUUGAGUGCAGGAGAGGAGAGUGGAAUUCCAUGUGUAGCGGUGAAAUGCGUAGAUAUAUGGAGGAACACCGGUGGCGAAAGCGGCUCUCUGGCCUGUAACUGACACUGAGCUCGAAAGCGUGGGGAGCAAACAGGAUUAGAUACCCUGGUAGUCCACGCCGUAACGAUGAGUGCUAGAUGUAGGAGCUAUAGUUCUCUGUAUCGCAGCUACGCAUAAAUCACUAGUGA